UACGUAGGGACCAAGCGUUGUUCGGAUUUACUGGGCGUAAAGGGCGCGUAGGCGGCGUAUUAAGUCAGCUGUGAAAUCUCCAAGCUUAACUUGGAACGGUCAGCUGAUACUGAUGUGCUAGAGUGCAGAAGGGGCAAUCGGAAUUCUUGGUGUAGCGGUGAAAUGCGUAGAUAUCAAGAGGAACACCAAUAGCGAAGGCAGCUCGCUGGGACGGUACUGACGCUAAGGCGCGAAAGCGUGGGGAGCGAAUAGG
rnacentral:rRNA from 1 species